rnacentral:rRNA from 1 species
GGCCGCGGUAUUAUGACCGUGCGAAGGUAGCAUAAUCAUUAGUCUUUUAAUUGAAGGCUGGAAUGAAGGGUUGGACGAGAAAUUAACUGUCUAGUGUUUUGAAGAUUGAAUUUAACUUUUAAGUGAGAGGGCUUAAAUGAAUUAGAGGGACGAUAAGACCCUGUAAAGUUUGUACAUCAGGGUUAAUGGGUAGAGAUUUAGGUUAAUAAGGCUAACUCUUAUGGGGGUGUUUAGUUGGGGCGACUAGGAUAUAAGUUAUCUAACUGUUUCUUUGUUGGAAUCAAUAAUAUUUGAGUUUAUGAUCCUCUUUAAGGAUUUCAGAAUAAAUUACUUCAGGGAUAACAGCGUAAUUUUUUUUGAGAGUUCUAAUCGACAAAAGAGUUUGCGACCUCGAUGUUGAAUUAAAAUUUCUUUGUGGUGUAGUAGUUACAAGAGAAGG